AGGAUGAACGCUGGCGGCGUGCCUAACACAUGCAAGUCGAACGUCCUGUCUCGCAAGAGGCAGGGAGUGGCGGACGGGUGAGUACCACGUGGGUCAUCUACCGUGAGGUGAGGAAUACCGGCGAGAAAUCGCCGACAAGACCGCAUAGGCUCGAUGCAAGUCGAGCAAAGCUCUUUCGAGAGAGGGAGCGCCACACGAGGAGCCCGCGCCCGAUUAGCUAGCUGGUGGAGUAAUGGUUCACCAGGGCGACGAUCGGUAGCUGGUCUGAGAGGACGAUCGGCCACACUGGGAUUGAGAACGGCCCAGACUCCUACGGGGGGCAGCAGUGAGGAAUUUUCGUCAAUGGGGGCAACCCUGAACGAGCAACGCCGCGUGCAGGAAGAAGGUUUUCGGAUCGUAAACUGCUUUUCUCGGGGAAGAGAAUGGACGGUACCCGAGGAAUCAGCCCCGGCUAACUACGUGCCAGCAGCCGCGGU
rnacentral:rRNA from 1 species